rnacentral:misc_RNA from 1 species
GAUGAAGAACGUAGCGAAAUGCGAUACGUAAUGUGAAUUGCAGAAUUCAGUGAAUCAUCGAGUCUUUGAACGCACAUUGCGCCCUCUGGUAUUCCGGAGGGCAUGCCUGUCCGAGCGUCAUUGCUGCCCUCAAGCACGGCUUGUGUGUUGGGCCCCGCCCCCCGAUCCCGGGGGGCGGGCCCGAAAGGCAGCGGCGGCACCGCGUCCGGUCCUCGAGCGUAUGGGCUUUGUCACCCGCUCUGUAGGCCCGGCCGGCGCCUGCCGAUCAACCAAACUUUUUUCCAGGUUGACCUCGGAUCAGGUAGGGAUACCCGCUGAACUUAAGCAUAUCAAUAAGCGGAGGA